UGGUUCCAAGAGGACGUAUGUACCAUGGACCAGCUAGGAACAAGGCUGAUGCAAAUAUGGCGGCGGGUGGCGGCAGCGGAAUGCUUCCCGUACCUUACGAGAUGGCUGGUGUUGGCGGCAUGCUUCCACACGAUGCCGCGGCUCCCAUCCACAACAAAUGCCUGUUACAGCGUUGGCUUCCGCUCUUGCUAACGACCAUACUGGAUGGAUUAUGUUGUAACUCAAUGGUAUCAUGCUCUUGAACUCUGUGGCUCCUUUUUUCUCUAAAGAUACAUAUGCGGAAAUGCUUUUGAGGAAACCAUAAUUUUUCGAAAAGAAUGUGGUGCAUGAGCUGGAUCGCAUGAUUGAUUUGCUUGGCACUCCUUCUUUUAAAUCCAUUACAAGGGUU